UACGUAGGGGGCAAGCGUUGUCCGGAAUCAUUGGGCGUAAAGCGCGUGUAGGCGGCCAGAUAAGUCCGCUGUGAAAUCUCGAGGCUUAACUUCGAGCUGUCGGUGGAAACUGUCUGGCUAGAGUCCGGAAGAGGAGAAUGGAAUUCCUGGUGUAGCGGUGAAAUGCGCAGAUAUCAGGAAGAACACCCGUGGCGAAGGCGGUUCUCUGGGACGGUACUGACGCUGAGACGCGAAAGCGUGGGGAGCGAACAGG
rnacentral:rRNA from 1 species